rnacentral:rRNA from 1 species
UACGUAGGGUGCGAGCGUUAAUCGGAAUUACUGGGCGUAAAGCGUGCGCAGGCGGUUUUGUAAGCCAGAUGUGAAAUCCCCGGGCUUAACCUGGGAAUGGCAUUUGGGACUGCAAGGCUCGAGUGCGGCAGAGGAGACUGGAAUUCCUGGUGUAGCAGUGAAAUGCGUAGAUAUCAGGAGGAACACCGAUGGCGAAGGCGGCACUCUGGGCCGUGACUGACGCUGAGGAGCGAAAGCGUGGGGAGCAAACAGG